AUGCAUUCAGCAUGUUUGUCCCAAAGGAGAGCCAGCCUAGACCCACGUUUGGACAGAAUGCAGAUGCACAAGUGCAUAAGGCAGGAGAGCCUGGGGCUGUAUUUGAUCACAAACUCCACACAACCUGACGAGGUCAAUGAAUUUUUCCAGACAAUUCAGAUAAUUCUCUCUCUGCAGACAAAAUCCCUGGUUCUCUCCUCAGUGUUUACCCAAGUAAGCUCCACAAAGUGUUUCAGAAGUCCCCUUUUAUUUAUUUUUUUUCAAAGUUGUACCCACCUCAUUCUAGUAAGAGGUAAAAGUAUAUUGAUACUAAUUCAGGGCUAGUUUACGCUUCUACAGAUCUACCCCAACAUGUCAGAUCAGCAUCCUCACUAUCACUGUAUCUCAUGUUAAAGCAAAGUAAGGGGUCAGCAGAGGAUUCACUUUCCAGAACUGUGUGGACUGUCCAGGGGAUCACAUGUCAUCUCUCCUGGAUAUAACUCCAUGCAAAGCAUGGGAGUGCAGAAUAUGCAGAAGGAUGGUUGCCAGUGCUUUCUGUAAAGAAUCACAUCAACAGUUUUUCCAAUUGAUGGAGACAACAUGCCAUAAUUAAAACAAGCACUGUGGCUCUGCACUGUUGGAAUGGAUUUCACUUCUUAAAUCCUAUCUUCUGGAAGUUCACCAUCACAGUUCUUGAUUAAUCCACCUUUAUGCUGCUGAAACGUAGUUUGAAUUUAGAACCUUCUAAUAUUACACUUUUCUGUAUUGCAGUGCUUCAGUACUAUUUUUUUGAAGUACAUAAAUCUAGCCAGAAUUUUUGUUGGGGGACUUGGCAUUCUG
rnacentral:lncRNA from 1 species